rnacentral:tRNA from 1 species
UCCGUACUGGUGUAUCGGUAACAUUUCCGCCUCUCACGCGGUAGCGCAGGGUUCGACUCUCUGGUACGGAA